GUUGUUUACUUUUAAAUAUGUUGCAUGUUUCAUAAAUCAUUAUAAUUGUGAUGUUGAACAUGUUGAAUGCAUAAAAUGAUAUAAUUGCACAAAUUUACAUCAGUGUCUUUGCUAGAAGAUUUAUAAUAAAGGAACCUUAUGCAUAAGUUGUUGCCCCAUUCAUUUAAAAUUUGAAACUCUCAUCUUCUCUAUAUACACACCCAUCCUUUAAAUUUAAUUACCACCAAACAUUCUGUCAAAAACCCAUAUCUUUCAGGUUAAUUAAACAUGGACUAAGAGAAACACUGAACAUGAUCUAGACAAAUAGUUCACCAAAAAUUUAUCAUUGUUUUUUCUUUUA
rnacentral:lncRNA from 1 species